rnacentral:rRNA from 1 species
GACGAACUGCCCAAACGUUGUUCGGAAUCACUGGGCUUAAAGGGCGCGUAGGCGGCAGAUCAAGUCAGGGGUGAAAUCCGGCAGCUCAACUGUCGAAGUGCCUUUGAUACUGAUUUGCUCGAGGGAUAUAGGGGUCUGUGGAACUUCCGGUGGAGCGGUGAAAUGCGUUGAUAUCGGAAGGAACGCCGGUGGCGAAAGCGACGGACUGGAUCUCUUCUGACGCUGAGGCGCGAAAGCCAGGGGAGCAAACGGG